UGGUCGCUUGCAGAGCACCAGGUAUCCUAUGUUUCCUGUGGCUUCAUUCAUGCCAUCACAGCUUUGUGAUGCGGAACUAGCCUGCCUAGAUUGUAACAGGUUUGUAUGGAGAAAACACAGGAAUAUUCCUGUUCUGUACAUCCCUGAGCAUCUCCUGCUCUGAGCUUGAGUCCGCAUCACAAUGCAGGCUCCUGAACCGCCUUGCGAUUCUCUGCAGGGUGCAAGGCAGUCAAGCCUGCUGGCUGAGGUGUAUAUAAAUCAGAGCCUUUUCAGACAUCUGUAGGCAGCCCUGUUUAGGGAAGUUUUUAAUGUUUGAUGUUUUAUCGUGUUUUAAAUAUUCUAUUGGGAGCUGCCCAGAGUGGCUUGGGAGGCCUGGGGUAUAAGUAAUAAAUUAUUGUUAUUGUUAUUGUUAUUGUUAUUAUUCCCUGUUUUCUCCAGUCUGUUCCUGAGGUCUCCAUAAAGCCUUUAAGCUGAAUCACUGCCUUGGGUGAACUGCCGGGGAUCUGUCACCUCAGCUGAAUCACCGCUGAAGACUUGUUGCCUCAUCCACCUGGAAUCACCGACCGACCGCAGCCGCAAGGCCGGUCACACAGAGCAGACCUCAUGGCCACCCAGAGCCACAUCAAAAUGGGACUACUACGCCGCAUGAAUCGAGUUUUUCCUCACAGCCAGUCAGGUGACCCACCCUGAACUGAAGCGGGCCACACUGCUCAGUGUGUGUGGACCUGCCAUGUUCAAGAUCAUCCAGGGUCUAUUAGCCCCGGCCCAGCUGACCAAGACGCCAUUUGACGCAAUAAUGGAGAAGCUGAGGACACACUUUGCUCCUCAGCUGUCGGAGAUCGCCUGCUGGCAUGCCUUCUACAGACAGGCCCAGGCCCCGGGUGAAUCCAUAGGGGCCUUUAUUGUGGCCUUGCGGCAAGCCGCCUACCACUACAACUUCAGUGACCUGCAUGUAAUGCUCCGUGACCGUCUUGUGUGCUGCCUGAGGGACAAGGAGCUACAGUGGCGCCUUUUAGCCAUGAAGGACCUGACCUUUCGGGUUGCUCCGCCUCAUGGUGGAGACAGCCAUCAAGAUGGGGAGAGGGGUUCGCCAAGCACACAGCCCACCCAUGGCCCAGAAGGCCGAGGCUGUGCACUCGGAGAUUAUUGACACAGAGGAAGAUGAGGUCCCAAGACUGCACACUGGCUCGUCCAAGCAUUUUGGCCAACAGAGGUGCAGGGGUGCCUUGCGCCAGCUGCAGGGGCCCGCAUGAACAGCCAUCAUGCCAUUUCCACAAUGCCCAGUGCCAGGCAUGUGGGAAGACCAGCCAUAUUGUACGCGCGUGCUGAGCAAAGGAGCAGCUUGAACUCACAUAUACUUCAGUUCCAACUCUGCAAUUCUCUGAUUCUCUAUGUAUUAACUAGUUAAUUGUUGCAGGAUGUUGGACUAAAUGACCCUCAGGGUCCCUUCCAACUCUGCAAUUCUAUGAUUCUGUGUCUUGCAUUGUGUGAUAUUUGCAUUGCGUUUGUAUGGUAAUAAAAUAAAUGGGGGGGGAAUCAAGUUUGGGUGGCAAAGGAUCUUUCUUUGCUGCCAUAAUUUGAACUUUGAACGCCAUAGGAUAUCAGGUUUGGUCCAGCUCUCCAUUCCCUACCCAUUCUAGCCUGAUGAACAGCUCUGUGGAACUCAAAAGCUUGCGCGCCAUUUCACAUUUUGGUUGGGCCUAGUAAAGAUUUUGGAAUGCAUGGAACUGGCCUGUGAGCAGAUUAGUUGGUUAUAGUUACAAAUCUUUGAAAGCAGACCUAGGAAUAAGCCUCAUUGAACACAGUAACUCUUGCUUCUGAGUAAACACGCAUAGGCCUGGGCUGUAAACCAGCAUACACCUAUUUGCAUGAGAGGAAAAAUAGCUGUUUUCUCUCUUUUAAUAAAGAGAUGCACAUUCAUUGCAGAAGGUUUCAUCUUGGAAGAGGCGUUCCAUCUUUCAUGGGGGGUUCCGAUGAGCCCCCUUGUGUUUAAAGAAGACAUGGGUGCUGCAGAACCUUGUGAGCUAAUUCUCCACCACCUGUAACCCAUGUACCUGGCAACUAUUAAUUUCUAAUUAUUUAUGGCAUUUCUAUACCACAUUUUUCUUCCUAUGAUCUCAAGGUGGUGUACAUGGUCCUCCUCCUGAUUUCACCCUCACAACAACCCUGUGAGGUAGGUUAGGCUAAGAGAUGGCGACUGAACCAAGUUCACCCAGCGAGCUACAUGACUGAAAUGGGGAAUCUGAACCCUGCUCUCCCAGGUCCUAGUCAAACACUCUUAACAGUGCAACUCCCUGCC